CAGAAAGUUGGCUCUGCCAUUUAUAGAUUGGAAGACCUUAAGGGGAAGGAGCUAGGCAAUUUUCACGCUAAGGAUAUCUGGAAGGCCUAAUUCCAACUCGCCGACCUUUUUCAGCUUUUAUUUAGGCAUGAAUACCAAAAUAAAACCUGUGAUGUGGGGGUCGCUCGUUGGUUCAAAGCCAAAACAAAACAAAAAAAAGUAAUUUAAAAAUUUUUUAGGAAAAAAAAAAAAGAAAACAAAAAUAGUAAACAAAAAACAUAUGGUCUUAUUUACCUCUUGAACCCAAUGCAGCUAAUUAAAAAUAUCGAUAGGCUCAGCUGACCCCAAUUGACAUUCACCCCCCACCACAGCUGCUCCCCUUUUUGGGAAUUCACCCACCCACGUAAGCACCUGUCAAAAAGUGACAAUCCCAAAAGAUGCAUUUCCUGUCUGCCACCUGAUUUCACUUUUAUUCUGAAUCUCGCUGCGGGCAGACCUGUGCAUCUGUGGAUAAAAAUUAUUAAACCAGUGACUUAACCUCGUGGAGGAGAAAAUUAGUGUGUGAUUUUUUUAUAAGAAUAGAGCGGAUUUUUGUUGCUGGAUGACCCUCGAUGCCCGUGGAUUUGGAGGCACCACCUGGCCCAACCUCGGCAUCCAUCAUAAGCACCAGCAUCACCACCAAGCUUCAGGGAUUAUUUUUACGACCCGUCGCCGAAAUUCCGCCGGCCACAUCAACCCCUCUGCCUGUGGAGUCUUGGAUCUUUUUUUAUGUAUUUUUUUUAUAUAAAAAAAAUUACAAAUAUCACGUAACUACAACUAUUAAAUAUCCCCGCGAGAGAGGACAAAAA